AUAAAGUGGAUUAGCGGCGGACGGGUGAGUAACACGUGAGUAACCUACCUUAGACAUUGGGAUAGCCUCGGGAAACCGGGAUUAAUACCAAAUAAAAUCAUAAUGACACAUGUCAUAACGAUCAAAACUCCGGUGGUCUAAGAUGGACUCGCGUCCCAUUAGCUAGUUGGUAGAGUAGAAGCCUACCAAGGCGACGAUGGGUAGCCGGCCUGAGAGGGUGAACGGCCACAUUGGAACUGAGAAACGGUCCAA
rnacentral:rRNA from 1 species